rnacentral:rRNA from 1 species
GAUACGACCGUACCGCAAACCGACACUGGUGCGCGAGAUGAGUAUUCUAAGGCGCUUGAGAGAACUCAGGAGAAGGAACUCGGCAAAUUGACACCGUAACUUCGGAAGAAGGUGUGCCCUAUUAGUGUGUAGUGAACAACGAAGCAUGAAUGGGUUGCAAAAAAUCGGUGGCUGCGACUGUUUAUUAAAAACACAGCACUCUGCAAACACGAAAGUGGACGUAUAGGGUGUGACGCCUGCCCGGUGCUGGAAGAUUAAAUGAUGGGGUGCAAGCUCUUGAUUGAAGUCCCAGUAAACGGCGGCCGUAACAAUAACGGUCCUAAGGUAGCGAAAUUCCUUGUCGGGUAAGUUCCGACCUGCACGAAUGGCGUAACGAUGGCCACACUGUCUCCUCCUGAGACUCAGCGAAGUUGAAAUGUUUGUGAUGAUGCAAUCUCCCCGCGGAAAGACGGAAAGACCCCAUGAACCUUUACUGUAGCUUUGUAUUGGACUUUGAACAGAUCUGUGUAGGAUAGGUGGGAGGCUUUGAAGCAGGGUCGCUAGAUCUUGUGGAGCCAACGUUGAAAUACCACCCUGGUGUGUUUGAGGUUCUAACCUAGGUCCAUUAUCUGGAUCGGGGACAGUGCAUGGUAGGCAGUUUGACUGGGGCGGUCUCCUCCCAAAGCGUAACGGAGGAGUUCGAAGGUACGCUAGUUACGGUCGGACAUCGUGACGAUAGUGCAAUGGCAUAAGCGUGCUUAACUGCGAGACUGACAAGUCGAGCAGACGCGAAAGCAGGACAUAGUGAUCCGGUGGUUCUGUAUGGAAAGGCCAUCGCUCAACGGAUAAAAGGUACUCUGGGGAUAACAGGCUGAUACCGCCCAAGAGUUCAUAUCGACGGCGGUGUUUGGCACCUCGAUGUCGGCUCAUCUCAUCCUGGGGCUGUAGCCGGUCCCAAGGGUAUGGCUGUUCGCCAUUUAAAGAGGUACGUGAGCUGGGUUUAAAACGUCGUGAGACAGUUUGGUCCCUAUCUUCCGUGGGCGCUGCAGAUUUGAGGAAGCCUGCUCCUAGUACGAGAGGACCGGAGUGGACACACCUCUGGUGUAUCGGUUGUCACGCCAGUGGCAUUGCCGAGUAGCUAAGUGUGGAAGAGAUAACCGCUGAAAGCAUCUAAGCGGGAAACUCGUUUCAAGAUGAGAUCUGCCGGGGCCUUGAGCCCCCUAAAGAGUCGUUCAAGACCAGGACGUUGAUAGGUCAGGUGUGGAAGCG